rnacentral:rRNA from 1 species
GACGAACGCUGGCGGCGUGCUUAACACAUGCAAGUCGAACGGAAAGGCCCUGCUUUUGUGGGGUGCUCGAGUGGCGAACGGGUGAGUAACACGUGAGUAACCUGCCCUUGACUUUGGGAUAACUUCAGGAAACUGGGGCUAAUACCGGAUAGGAGCUCCUGCUGCAUGGUGGGGGUUGGAAAGUUUCGGCGGUCGGGGAUGGACUCGCGGCUUAUCAGUUUGUUGGUGGGGUAGUGGCUUACCAAGGCUUUGACGGGUCGCCGGCCUGAGAGGGUGACCGGCGACAUUGGGACUGAGAUACGGCGCAGACUCCUACGGGAGGCAGCAGUGGGGAAUAUUGCACAAUGGGCGGAAGCCUGAUGCAGCAACGCCGCGUGCGGGAUGACGGCCUUCGGGUUGUAAACCGCUUUCGCCUGUGACGAAGCGUGAGUGACGGUAAUGGGUAAAGAAGCACCGGCUAACUACGUG